rnacentral:rRNA from 1 species
UCUCUUAGUAAUGGCGAAUGAACAGGGAACAGUUCAGCAUGGCAAUCGGGGCCCGCGGCCUUGAAUUGUAGUCUUGCGACGCUUUGCCAGCGGAGGCUCAGAUGUAAGGCUUCUGGAAAGGAGCAUCGAAGAGGGUGAGUAUCCUGUUUGUCAUCUGAACGCUUCCGCAAACAGCAGGCGUUCUGAGAUUCACGUUCCUCGGGAUUGGAGCGCAAAGUGGGUGGUAAAUUUCAUCUAAAACUAAAUAUAGGUUUGAGACCGAUAGCAAACAAGUACCCUGAGGGAAAGGUGAAAAGGACUUUGGAAAGAGAGUUAAAAGUGUCUGAAUUUGCUGAAAGGGAAGCGGAUGAAACCAGCUGUUCUCUGCAAGAUUGUCGCGUGUUUCAGUGCUUGGUAGGUCUCCCAGCGCAAGCGGGGGGCUUGCAGGUAAGCUGUUACGUGCGGUGUCUCUUGCAGGGCAGGUCAAUAUCGGUUCACCUGCGAGGAAAGCACCGGGCACAUGGUAGCUCGCUUCCGGGUGAGUGAAUAUGUUCGGUUGGGCUCACGGGUGCACUGAAGUCGGCGCGUCUGGUUGUCGCAUGCUCUCCUCCCUGCUGGAGCUUCGGUUUCGACUUUGAGGGGGGCUCGUCAGUUGCAUGGAUAAUGACCAAAUGGUUUCAUUCGACCCGUCUUGAAACACGGACCAAGGAGUCUAACGUAUGUGCAAGUUCACGGGCGGGAAAACCUGCUUGCGCAAUGAAAGUGACUGCUGGGAUUGUUGCACCAGCAACCGACCAAUCGACUGUGAGAGGUUUGAGUAUGAGCACAUCUGUUAGGACCCGAAAGAUGGUGAACUAUGCCUGAGAAGGGUGAAGCCAGGGGAAACUCUGGUGGAGGCUCGUAGCGAUACUGACGUGCAAAUCGUUCGUCAUACUUGGGUAUAGGGGCGAAAGACUAAUCGAACCAUCUAGUAGCUGGUUCCCUCCGAAGUUUCCCUCAGGAUAGCUGGAGUUGAACAGUCUUAUCAGGUAAAGCGAAUGAUUAGAGGCAUCGGGGACGCGUUGUCCUCGACCUAUUCUCAAACUUUAAAUGGGUAAGAUCCAGGGGUUGCUUGGGUGAACUUCUGGGAUAGAUGACAACUCUAAGUGGGCCAUUUUUGGUAAGCAGAACUGGCGAUGAGGGAUGAACCUAACGUUUGGUUAAGGUGCUUAACUGCUCGCUCAUCGGAUACCAUAAAGGGUGUUGGUUCAUUUUAACAGCAGGAC